UACGAAGGGGGCUAGCGUUGCUCGGAUUGACUGGGCGUAAAGGGCGCGUAGGCGGUUCGUACAGUCAGACGUGAAAUUCCUGGGCUCAACCUGGGGGCUGCGUUUGAUACGUGCGGACUUGAGUGCGGAAGAGGGUCGUGGAAUUCCCAGUGUAGAGGUGAAAUUCGUAGAUAUUGGGAAGAACACCGGUGGCGAAGGCGGCGACCUGGUCCGAUACUGACGCUGGAGCGCGAAAGCGUGGGGAGCAAACAGG
rnacentral:rRNA from 1 species